UUUACCUAUGAUAAAUUAUUGUAAAUGUGACAAUUUCGUUCCCUGUUCAUUCUCUCUUCCAAACAAGUGGUACACACACUAAAUCCUACCGGGACAUAUAGGUGAAAUGAAGAAAAGGUAAAGAUCUCAUCUGGUAUUAUAAAGAUGAAGCAGAGAUCCACAGACACCACACAGUGAAAUAAUGGCGAUGGCGGUUCCUCCGGCUAUAGCUAUGUAGGCAGCUACAUGGUACAGUUCGUCACCUAGGACAGCAGACAACUGGUGUGCUCCAUAGUCGGAGGCUAUGAUGUAUAUUCCCAUAGACAAACUGGAUACACCAGC